UACGCUCGAAGACGUCAGAAAGUCGGAAUGGUAUUGCAAAGCGAAUAAGGGAUGAAUCGAGUAAGCGAAGCGAUGUGGCGAAUAGAGUAUAGCUAGAGAUGGUCUAGAGAUUAUGAGAUGCAUAGAUUGUGAAAGUGGAAAGAUGAGAAUGAGCUGUGAGACGGGAGUCAGAUUUAAGGCAAGUAUCUUAAACCCUUCUCUUGGAUAUAUUGCAAAUAUUCUGAUCCAUUCCUUUGGUAUAUGUUUCAAGUAUUCAUACCUUUCUUUUCAAUGUUCGAAAGUGCGAGUAUUCUGACCCAUUCUUUCUAAUCUUCAAGUUUCUAAAGAAUUUCCGUUUUACAAAUUAAUUCGAAGUUCAGAUUGUCAUUGAAGCAUGUGUUGCUCAGUGAUAGUUAGAGCUUUGAAUGAAUUGGGAUCUUCUUGAUUAUUCAAUCCGCCAUUGUCAUGCUGGUUAGCAGGCUAAAUUCAGUUGCUUAGCCGAUAAUGGAGGAUACUGAAUAGUUGAGGAUUUCCUGAACUGUGAUUUAUGAAAUGAUGGAUCAUGAUUUAUUAUUAUCAAAGUUGAUUUGGAAUUAUUCAGUUGUUGAUAAUAUUUAUGAUGAUGUUCUGUUGAUUUACAUUGGCUUCUUGAAUUGAAUUAGAGAAUUGGAUUAUUGUUUUUAUAUAAACCUGUGGACCAGAUUCGUGGUCAUGUUAGGCCAAUGAGUGCCUUGGAUCCAGUCAUAGAGCAUGGCGGGGCCUGCUCGGGGUUAGGUAUGACUGAUCAGCAUCCUAACCUUGGUUUUUAAUUAAAAUGUGAUAGUCCAAUUCAAUAAUUCUCUUGUGAAAGAUUGAAUUCCUCAGUAUUCAAUUGCUGUAAGGUAUUGUGAUUUUCUUAUACAAUACCUAAACUCGUGAACUCAGGUUGAAUCCUUUUAUAUCUUGAACUCGUGAAUUUCUAUUAUAUUAUUUCAGAAUUUUCAUUGCUUAUUACUACUUGCUGAGCAUUGUCGCUCACCCUUGCUAUUCCUUUCUAACCAUUUCAG
rnacentral:lncRNA from 1 species